rnacentral:rRNA from 3 species
AAACUUUCAACAACGGAUCUCUUGGUUCUGGCAUCGAUGAAGAACGCAGCGAAAUGCGAUAAGUAAUGUGAAUUGCAGAAUUCAGUGAAUCAUCGAAUCUUUGAACGCACAUUGCGCCCCUUGGUAUUCCGAGGGGCAUGCCUGUUCGAGCGUCAUUUCACCAAUCAAGCCCC